CACCAUAGCGACCACGAGAAAAGGGGGGGCAGUGAAGAAAACGAGCGUCAUUUUCUCUCCAUGCCGGGACUCCUUUUUCCGGUGGGGCAAAGAUAGCCCUUGCUUCUCACCUGCGCGCUCUCGAUCUGCCCGUUGACCAUGAGAAGGAAGACGGUGGGACUAGCGGUGGCUGCCAUCGGCUCUCGCAGGCGCGGAGAGAGACCCCGUCGUUAUAGGCCGCGUCGUGCGCCUUCCCUAGCAACAGCGGACGGCACGUCGUGGGGGACAAUCUUUUUGGAAGGCGAAGGGAUGGGGCUGGGCUGCGCGUGCGGCCUGAGUCAGCGGCACACGAGGAGGGAGUUUUCAUGCGAGCGGCGUUGGAGGAAGGAGUCGCAGUAGAAUGUGAAUAAAAUAGCAGCAUUAAUAGUACAACACGGGAUUGUCCACUGCAGGACUGAAAGCAACUGCUAAGAUCCAUUGUAUUCGCUGGACUGUUUUCCGCUGCGAACAUAAGACGAAUAAGCAAACUGGCAAUUUCUGUUCCUUUCCAUUUUCGUUGGAAUUCUCUGACAUCUUUACUCACAAACACCCCUUGGCCACAUCAGAAAUAAGGUAAGACUUACACUGUCACGCCAUGUUGAUGUGUAACGCAGUGUGAUGUUGGUGCGGCAGCAGGGCGGCGUAACAAAAGCAUGGCUUAUCAGGCAAGCACGAGGCACGAUCAGCACUCAAGGACACACUCCAGCCAGGCAAAACCACUCAAGUUUUGCAACCCAGCCCUUGGCAGCAGAUUCAAAAAGCCAGCAUGCUGUCGAUGGAGCAGAAGCCAAUGACUAUAUCCCCUGAAUAUGACUGCUCCUCAUCUCUUGCUUCUCAAAGGCAUUUGAGCCACAAAAAGAAGAUGCCAGGAUUGGAACCUGCCCUGAUACCUGUUCUGAACAGAGGAUAAGUGCAAAGAGUUUAUUUCCGUGCGCGAGCAUGGCAGAGGCUGAUGGAGGCGCCUUUUUCCCAUUGAGGAAGGAGCAUGCCUGCACUGUUGUGAGGCGGAUUCUGGUUACUCCUACGUCUGGUGAACAAAAAGAACAAUAAUGAAAUAAUUUACUAUUUAUUUGUUUUUUGUUUUUUUCCGUCAACGUCGGAAAUCACCUUCAUUGCGUCCAGCCCUCGUUGUGCACUUUUUAAAGUUCAGAUUAUUGCAGCAUUUAACCUGAAUUCCAUAAGUAAACAGAUUGGGGUGGGGAGAGAAAAGAAAGAUAAUAAUCACUUGGAAUAUAUGUAAAAUGUUUUUAAAAGGACAGCUUCUGUACCCAUAAGAAGAAAGAAUACCUUAUUGUUAUUGCACUGGCUACAAUUCAGUAGUUAUUUUGGUUUUCAUCGUUUCCUGUAGCGAGGACAUCAAAUAAUAACAAAAAAAGAUGACAGCAAAAGGUGGAGCCAGAAGAGACAUAUCAAAACAUGGGCUGCAAGCUGAAGCUUGAAGGAUGGCUAGUCAGGAAGAGCAGAGGAGAGACAAGGGGUUGGUAUAUCAGGGUCAAAAUGAGAGAGAACAAGAAGCAUCGUCAUUAAGCUUCCACUUAGAAUCUGACAAUACAUCACCCAGUUGAGAAUCCGAUGUUAAUGCAAGAAACGAAGAAAAGAAUGACAGGCCCCAAUCCAGCUAAUGUUUAUAGCAACUGAGGCCGCAGCUUUCAGCACACAUACUAGGAAAUAAGUCCAACUGAAACUCACAAAGGCUGUGAUUCUAUACAUACUUACCUAGGAGUAAGUCCCAUUGAACUCAGUGGUGCUUACUUCUGAGUAGAUAUGCAUAGGAUUGCCCUGUAAGCUGGUCUAAUGCAGACAAAACGAGUCACCCUUAAAAUGACAGGGGCAAGUUAGUCGGUUUCAGCAGGAGUUUAGUUGGAUCAGGGCCACUGUGUCUUCUGAGUAAGCAUUCAUAGGAUUGGAUUGCAAGUUCCAUUGAAAGCCACAGGACUCUCUGUUGGCUUCAGUGGGACUUAGAUGUGACUAACUAUAGCUGGAUGAGGUCCAGUGUUCCCUAUAAAAAUAUGUGCAUUAUGAAGAGAAGAGCUUCUAUGUGAAUGUGAAUGUUGUCGUUUGUGUGUGUGUGGCUCGUUUGUGUGUGUUUUCUUUUUAUUUCUCAAAUACAUUAUUUUCUAUUUAUAAUUGCUGAUAUACAGACAAUAUACAACUUGCAUCUCCUGGGCAUUUUUCGCUUCCUGUGACAACUUUCCGUGCAAUAAUAAAAGGUGCCAUUUCGA